AGCUUGGAUUCCCUUGAAACGAGGGAACUGGGAUCAACCCAGCUGGUCCUCUGAGGGAAUGUCUGACCGUGGGGCAGUCAGGUUGGCCAGAGUAUGCACUUCUUCCCACAUAGUGUGCCCUCAGUAAAGCCAGGCAGUGGGACCUCAAGGUCAGAGGGUGGACUCUGGAUCUAGAGUCUUUGAGUUCCAGUGUUCCCAUUUACCAGCUACAUCACUUUGGGCAAGUGGUAUGUUUUGAACCUGACCUUGGAUAUUAGCUUACUUGAUGCAUGGUAAUACAUACUGUCCUUGGGUACUGAUGCUGACGGAUCCUGCCUACCUCCAAUGCAAGCUCCCGGGUGUAAAUGAGACAAGAGUCUGCAGUUGGUGGCUCCCCUGGCUCUCCGGAGAGGAUCCCUAGUUUCAUGCAGGCUGUUGAAAAUGGUUACAAGUUUGUGUGAUUUACAUACGUGUACAGUGAAGUAUUUGGAAGAGAUGGACUUUGGCCAGUCGAUGGAAUUUUAUUUGAUCUUCUCAUCAAAUGACUUUAAAAAUGAAAUGAAAAGUUCCAGCUUUCAUUUUUUAAUUCUUUUGGCAAGAUAUGAUGAAAAUAAAUCCAAGAAGAGUAGGAAGAUGUCAUGUGAAAUGCCAAGAAAAUGGAUUAACAAAAAAAAAUCAUCUGUUUUAAGGUGGAGCAGUUCAAAUAUUAAGAAAAAGAUCUCUUUCUUUUGGCAAGAGAGACAUUUUGGUGGUUUUAUUUCUUGGAUAAAGAAUGGGUCAUUCCUUAUUUAA
rnacentral:lncRNA from 12 species